CCAACAAGCUGUUUUACAAUAACUGCUUUUGGAUGGGCCUGCGCUUCCUAUUUCUCUACAGGCCCCACCAUUCCCUUUCGUCUCCUACCCAGCCACUUCACAUGUCUACGUUACCUGCCAGGCCCCUGAAGACCUCUGAGGUUUUCAAACCCUGCGUUAUACCUUGGACUCCACACAGAGCAGAAAGAGAGAGUCGAUCAUGCCCUCCUCUGUGCUCCCACGGCACUUCGGCAGCAGCUAGUAUUGCACUUAUCGCAUCGUAUUAAGGAGCCUCAGGUGAUGACGGAGGAAGAUGAAGGUGGAGUGGGCACUAGAGCUAAUGAAAGAAACAGAGCUGAUGCCCCAGAACAGUGAAUCGCAGCUGAUGGAAGAUGUUGGGGCUGGAGAAGCUACGGGAAGACAGAGCUGAAUAAAUGACAGCAGGAUGAAAGACAGAUUAGAAGAAAUGGGGACUUUGGCAAAGUAAAAAUCUUACUUGCCUCAAAGUAUAAAUGGGUGGACUAGCGGAGA